rnacentral:rRNA from 1 species
AAGGCUGAGCUGUGAUGACGAGGGAAUUAUAGUACCGAAGUUCCUGAUUCCACACUGCCAAGAAAAGCCUCUAGCGAGGCGGGAGGGGCCCGUACCGCAAACCGACACAGGUAGGCGAGGAGAGAAUCCUAAGGUGAUCGAGAGAACUCUCGUUAAGGAACUCGGCAAAAUGACCCCGUAACUUCGGGAGAAGGGGUGCUCUGGUAGGGUGUAU